ensembl:lincRNA
AAAUGAGGUGAAAACACAGUAAGCAGUAACUGAAAAUUCCACACUGACCAAGACCAAACCAGAAACUGCUCAAAGUACGACACACUGUGAGAAGCAUUAGCAGAGAGGUUCUGUGGCUGAGCCACUCUUUGCAAAUGGGAAAAGAAGCUACAUCCAAUUGGCCUUUGGAAGACCUGCAUAACCAGGAAGGAGGGGUGUGCAAGACAAGAGCCAUGAAGAUCAUCAUGAAAGUUGGACAAGAUGCAAGUCCUGCUGGAUCAACCAGGAAUAAUGAUCCAACAAGACGUCCAGAGCUAGAAGCUGGUCCAAACGGGAGAAAUUCAACAAGCCCUUUUGUGUAACCAAAUCCAGGGACAGCAGUGUAGUGGGGUUGUGUGUCUAUGGGUGCAUUUUUCUUAGAACCCCUAGAGGCAGAGGAGCCUCAAAAUACAUCCAAACCAGUGGGAUUCACUUGUGGGCAGAGAUUCCUGGGGUCUUUGCUCUCAGCGAGUCAAUAUUAACUCUGCCACUAAGACAGAUUAAUUCAGCCCGCUCAGUGUCUUACAGUCACAAGAGCAGAGCUCACCAGGUGUGUCAGUUACUGAUUCAUCCUGAAGUGUUGAAACUAGGGAUGUUCCAGAUUGGCUGUCUCGCCUUUAGGAAGGGGUUGGCAUGGUGAGUGAGAGUGGGAACUUUGAAGCUCCUUCACCUCAUCUGGUGAUCUGUUGUUAAGUUCACCUGUGAGUUGAGCAUUGGCCCUGCUUUCUUGUUUGCAUUUGGAGCGUUCUUUCUGCAAGCUAGAGAGCAGAGUCUCAGAAACACAGUAACUGGCUCUUCUUGCUUCUGUGCAGGUACCAGCACUGAAGGAAACAAGGCAAGGCAUUCGCUGAACAACCUCCUGGCUUCCAAAGUGGCCUUAUUCGCAGGAAUCACAUCAGGAUGCAUCAUCGUCAUCGUCAUCAUCAUCACCUUGGUGGUAUUGCUGCUCAAGUACCGCAGGAGACACUCUCCACAACACAGGACCACACCCAAGCGAGGUGGCAACAACUAUGGCUGGGAACCCAGUGAUGUUCUCAUACCGCUAAAGAUUGCAGACAGUGUCUCCCGCCCACACUAUGAGAAGGUCAGCGGAGACUAUGGGCACCCAGUGUACAUCGUGCAGGAGAUGCCCCCACAGUCCUGCUAACCUUAACUACAAGGUCUGAGGCCUGGGACCUUCGCCUCCCAGGGGAACUCUCACCUUGUUGUGGGCGCAGGGACUGAGCCUGGCUCUGGGGGCGGAAUGCCUCCUGGAAGAUCCUGGAGCUGGACAGUUUUGUAGGCUGUAGCUUUUGAGCCUUGGGGAACCACAGACUCUCCCCGGAAGCUGGAAGACUGCUAAGAGAUCCCCACUUGGACUGCUUUGUCCCUGUGUGGACCUCUAUGCUNNNNNNNNNNGCGCCCAGCCAGGCACUCAGGCCUCUGCAGAUCCCGGGGAGGACACGGUGGUCUAUGGGUGGUCUAUGCAUCAGUGUCUUAGGAGAAAGUUGCACCUCUGCCUCUGUUUCCUGCCAUGCACACUGGACUUGUCACUCGGACCUCGGGUAAACUCAGUAAGGUUUUCAAAGAUCCCUAGCA